rnacentral:rRNA from 1 species
GGGUCAUUAGGUUGGUCGUGCCACCGGUACGUACUGGUCUCACUGACUCCUCCUUCCUGAGGAACCGUAAUGCCAUUAAUUUGGUGUUGCGGGGAAACAGGACUGUUACUUUGAAAAAAUUAGAGUGUUUAAAGCAAGCUAACGCUUGAAUACAUUAGCAUGGAAUAAUGAAAUAGGACGAUCGAUCCUAUUUUGUUGGUUUCUAGGAUUGACGUA